UACGUAGGGUGCGAGCGUUGUCCGGAAUUAUUGGGCGUAAAGGGCCCGUAGGCGGUUUGUCGCGUCGGGAGUGAAAACACCGGGCUUAACUCGGUGCUUGCUUUCGAUACGGGCAGACUAGAGGCAUGCAGGGGAGAACGGAAUUCCUGGUGUAGCGGUGAAAUGCGCAGAUAUCAGGAGGAACACCGGUGGCGAAGGCGGUUCUCUGGGCAUGUCCUGACGCUGAGGAGCGAAAGUGUGGGGAGCGAACAGG
rnacentral:rRNA from 1 species